AAAUGAUGCAACUGAGUCACAGAGAAGUUAAGUAAUCUGCCUGCCGACACUCGGGUCGAUGCCGCCUCAUUCCAUCACUCGGGCAAUGGAGCCAAAGGCCACGUUCACAACCACUAGGCUGUCCCAGCCCCUUGCUUCAAAGAUAGCCAGGCAGGAGUUAUUUUAUAGAAUGGAAGUAAUUUCUACGGGGCCAAGCAAUAAUAAGGAAAUUGGAAGUCAAGGACUAUCUUCCGAAUGGAGAAGAAGCUCCAUCAACCACAGAAGGAAAUUAUGAUCACUCCUGCCAUCCUGCUCCUUUGUGUAUCCAGGAUGAAGGGGAGAAUUGGAGUCUUGCACAAUGAAAGGACAACAUUGCUGCCAAAACAAUCCAUCGUGACUGUAGACAUAUUUUCCACCCUCAUCCUGCAGGUUUUCUGCCAGUUGUUGGCCCCUCACCAAUUUUGCUCCUGGGCAGUCUGAGGUGGAACAUAAUUUUGUAUAAAACAAAUUAUGCUCAACCUCACUUAUAAUCAGGGAAAUGUGAGUCAAAACCACAAUAAAAUAUCACCUCAUGCUGUUUAGGAUUGCUGUUAUCAAGUAGACAAGAAAGAAGUGUUGGUGAGGGUAAGGAGAAA
rnacentral:lncRNA from 1 species